AACGAACGCUGGCGGCAUGCCUAACACAUGCAAGUCGAACGAGACCUUCGGGUCUAGUGGCGCAAGGGUGCGUAACGCGUGGGAACCUGCCCUUAGGUUCGGAAUAACUCCCCGAAAGGGGUGCUAAUACCGGAUAAUGUCUUCGGACCAAAGAUUUAUCGCCUUUGGAUGGGCCCGCGUUGGAUUAGCUAGUUGGUAGGGUAAAAGCCUACCAAGGCGACGAUCCAUAGCUGGUCUGAGAGGAUGAUCAGCCACACUGGGACUGAGACACGGCCCAGACUCCUACGGGAGGCAGCAGUGGGGAAUAUUGGACAAUGGGCGAAAGCCUGAUCCAGCAAUGCCGCGUGAGUGAUGAAGGCCUUAGGGUUGUAAAGCUCUUUUACCCGGGAUGAUAAGGACAGUACCGGGAGAAUAAGCUCCGGCUAACUCCGU
rnacentral:rRNA from 1 species